ACACUGUACGAGUUUGAUCCUGGCUCAGAACGAACGCUGGCGGCAGGCUUAACACAUGCAAGUCGAACGCCCCGCAAGGGGAGUGGCAGACGGGUGAGUAACGCGUGGGAACGUACCUUUCAGUUCGGAAUAACUCAGGGAAACUUGUGCUAAUACCGGAUACGCCCGCAAGGGGAAAGAUUUAUCGCUGAAAGAUCGGCCCGCGUUGGAUUAGCUAGUUGGUGGGGUAAAGGCCUACCAAGGCGACGAUCCAUAGCUGGUCUGAGAGGAUGAUCAGCCACACUGGGACUGAGACACGGCCCAGACUCCUACGGGAGGCAGCAGUGGGGAAUAUUGCACAAUGGACGAAAGUCUGAUGCAGCAACGCCGCGUGGAGGAUGACACAUUUCGGUGCGUAAACUCCUUUUAUAUAGGAAGAUAAUGACGGUACUAUAUGAAUAAGCACCGGCUAACUCCGUG
rnacentral:rRNA from 1 species